AAAGACACAGGAUGAGUCAAGAAUGAAUGAUAGGGGUUUAACAGGCCGAUGGGGAAAGUGGACAUGACUCCUCUAGCUAUCAAAUUAGACGAUGCUGCCAUGUUAAUUCUCCAAACGAGAAACAAAAGUGUAAUAGAGAACUUGUAUCGUCAAUAACGUCAUCGUGAACCAGACUAGCAGUGUGGAUCAUUUCUGCAAUUAAGGCUAUGGCGCGGUGGUUGGCUUGCACAUGUCAAAUUAACAGACAGCAAUGCUUUUUAACAGACGCCGCCUAGAACCUUCUCAGCAAUCAGCUUGUGAAAAUUGGACAUCGGAUCGGGAGUUGUUAUGAUGGAUAUUACAUGCUCGGGCCAUUAGCACCCCAAUAAUUGGUCGAAAGGCUUUUCCUUUUCCAUCAAAGUAGUACUCAGACA